CGCACAUCCGACGGCCGGCCCACACAAGCGAGUCCGCAUCGCACCUCAAUCUCAGCUCGGCUCAAGAGCGAUCUCAACACACCACAACUCGGCUCGCGCUCGCUCCGAUCGGCUCGAUCUAGUCCGAGAUGCAGUCAUCGUUCCCCUCCGCCUGUUUCUUAUCCCGUCGCCCCUUUCUCAUCCGCUAUUGGGCGCGUGGAGACGGAAUGCGGCGGCGGCUCCCUCGGACAGCUAGGGCAGUGGCGGCGCCCUCCCGUGCCUGGAGCAGGGCAGUGGCGGCACCCUCCCAUGCCUAGAGCAGGGCAGCAACGAUGGAAGGGCCAGGCGGCACCCUCCCGUGCAUUGAGAGUUUCAUAGUUUGAUUGCUCGGUUUUGGUUUUUAUUGCGGAGGCCAAUGCAGAAUUGCAGGUGAGAUAUAUGGGGUGCGGCAUGAAUGGCAAUUGAAGAUUGGAAGAGCAUGAACGAGAGGAUGCUGAAGAAGUGGCAUAGAACAAUUAAUGACAAGAUAAUGAAUGUAGCCUUUCUUUGUAAUUCCUACUAUGUAGUAUAUACACUAUUAGGAGUUUGUAAAGAUUCAGAACACCUUGUAUCCUGAGAACUAGUUUUGCCAGAUGUCAAGUUAUCCUGAGAACUAUUGUAACCUUGUGCAAAAUACAAAAGAGGAAAAUUGAUUGCCUAAAAGGAUGGUAAAUGCAGCAGGCAGAAGUGGAUGGUGCUAAAAGGAUUGUAGUUUGAUGAAUGUAGCCUUCGCUGUUAAUCCAUACAAUGUAGUCUGUACACUCUUAGGAGUAUGCAAGGAUUGUAGUCUAGAUGCUGUAAGUUUGGACCGCAUUUUUGGUCAAAUUGCAAGGAAACUCAUAUCGCUAUGUAAUCUGUACAAUGUAUUUCUUUUAUUUGAAAUACAUAUGGCAUGUUGGAUGUUCUGAAA